rnacentral:lncRNA from 1 species
GCCCAUUAAAAUUUGAACAUGCUUUAUUUUUAUGGAAAAAGCAAAGAAAAAUUUAAAAAUUCAUCUGGGAGAGUAAAUAUAUGUUUAUAUCUACUUCUGUAUCUUAUAUACAUACAUACAUAGAUAAAAUUAGCCAAGAAACUUCUGAAUUAUGAAAUCAAUAGGAGUAAUGAUCAUUACUUGUACACUAGUGCAUAUCAUAAAACUGUAUUAUUGCAAUAAUAACAAAUUAUCACAAAACAAAAUCCACAGAAGAAUCCAUAUGGAUGUAAGACUUGUUUGUUUUGGUAAGAGUAGCAGAGAGGCUUACACAAACCCAACCAUAUCAGGAAUGAUAUCAAAUGUAAACUGACCAAACGACAGGUGGUGGGGCUGGGCACAUAGCUCAAUCUCAGAGUGGACACCCAACAUGUAUGAGGUGGUAGGUUCAAUCUCCCACAGCAAAAAUUGCAGAUGUUUAUAGGAGAUGGGGGGGGGGGGGGCAGAGUCACUGUGUCCUUGAAAAAACAUCUACUCUUGUUUCAGGUUCCUCUGAAAGGCAGGCAUAAGUGAAAUGACAGACUUCAAUGUACUGGGUGCUAUGGUUUAUGUCUCAAUGUCACCCAAAGCCUCAUACACUCAUAGGGGUAGAUCAUGGGGAUGUGAUACUCAGCAGUGGACUAGUCCAUUAAUGAGUUUAUAGCUAAAUGUGAUGUUGGGAGGUGGAGCCAAGUUGGAGAAGGUAGUCGCGAGGGUCAUGGCUGGAAGGGUCUAUCUCUCUCUCCUCCCUUGAUCUCUCUCUGCUUCCUGCUGUGGUAUCAUGAGCUGUUUCUCCUCAGCCAUGUUGCCCUGCCUUGGAGCCAGCUGACUAUGGUCUGAAGCCUCUACAAACUGUGAGCUAAAAUAAACCUCUCCUUCUUUAAGUUGUGGGUGUCAGGUAUUCUGUCUCAGCAACACAAAAGUAAAUGAGACACUGGGCAACUAAGAAAACUAGCACACCAAAGCAGGAGGAAAGCCAAGGCACACUUGGGCAUGAAUCCUGCCUCAGACAAAGCACUAUAUAGAAAUUGGGAAAGAAUCUCCAACACUAAGCAUCAACCUGACCAUAUAUAAUAGCACCCUAACUCUAAAGUGCCCUUAUAGUCUGGAUUGUAAUCAACCCACCCUGGGAGAGAAGGGGAGUAGUUUCUUUAAAACACACACAAAAACACCACAAGUUUCUUUAGAACAUAAAAAAAAGUGAUGGUUUUCUAUGGUCAUGCAAGUACUUUCACAUACUUCACUCCUAGGGAUCAAGGAAAAGACAUGGCAGCUGUGGAUGCUGGUGUCAAGCAGCUGACCCCAGGACCAUGGAAAAAUGGACGGCUGAGAGUACAUCACUCUGUAAAGCCUUGGGAGAAUUCAACCCAAACACAUUUUCGUCAAGUGUCUGAACCUAGCAAAGACAAAAAGAGGAAAUGCAUAACAAUUUCUUUUACAUUUUUU